GUAGUAUUCCCUCCGUCCCAAAAUUCUUGUCUUACAUUUGUUUAGAUAUGGAUGUAUCUAACACUAAAAUGUAACUGGAUACAUCCGUAUUUAGACAUAUUUAAGACAAGAAUUUUGGGAUGGAGGGAGUACAAA
rfam:Triticum aestivum genome assembly, contig: Triticum_aestivum_CS42_TGACv1_scaffold_423271_5BS